rnacentral:tRNA from 1 species
CAGACCGUAGCUUAACUAGCAUAGCAUCUCCCUUACACCGAGAAGAUGUCCGUGCAAAUCGGACCGGACUGA